ensembl:lncRNA
ACUACAUUUUUCCAAAGUGAGUUUGCCCAACACAUAUAAGUGACAUUCAUGUAUUAGAAGCUCUGUAGUAGGACAGACUAGUCUAAUAGUCUUCUGUGCUUCGACUGACGUGGUUCUUCACGCUGCAACUGAUGUCUCCAUCAGCUCCUCAUCCAGAUCAAUGCUGCUGUUUCCAUCCAUCGAGUGGAUCUCCAUUCAGGAGUCCAGUUGGAUGAGGCUGAUCCCCUCAGAGGGGCAGAACACCCUCAUCACCCACUGGAGGAGCAGAUGAUUGACACUUCCACUGAGCCAAUAGGAGCUGGAGGGGAGGGGACACAUGUUUUACUGUGUGCUACAGGAAUAAAAACCUUCCCAGAAUUCAACUGAUUCAUCUGCAUGAGAGUGAGAUCUUUGGAGAACAUGAGACUGGAAUGAGUCUGAGUGAGAGUUUCUGUACCUUCAGCAAUCACUUGAAGAUCUCUAGAUGUUUCUGAGCCGCCUGAGCAGAGACUGUUAAUCUGUAAUUCCCAGAAUCUGCUCUGAUCACACGGUUUAUUAUCAGAAAGCCAUUAAUGACUGUCACUUCAGGUCUGUUAUUAUAAAGAUCACAUUCCCUCAUCCUUAUCCUGCCAUAUUUUACUCUACAAACUGGAUCAUCUUGUGUGUUGUUGUUUAUUCUCUUUAUUAUCUUCAGCUCAUAUUCUUGAGCAUCCCGCACCAUCAGCAGAUUGAGUUUGUGUCCCAGAGCUGCAUGACAGUGUUCAGAUUGACCAAAACUGCAGAACUGAUCCAGACCUGAAGAGAGAGAGAGAGAGAGAGAGAGAGACAUUGUACUAACACUUACAUACUGUACAGUCAGUGAAACUGCUGAUAUAAAGGUCUGUCUCAUCAUUAAUUUAAAACAGGCACAAAUUGCAUUAGAUUGAUAAUCUUCCAGAUCAAAGAAAUUAAUUAACAAGUGAUGAACAUUCAUGUCUUGAUCUUUAACACCUGAAGUUAGAGAGAGAGAGAGAGAGAGAGAGAGAGAGAGAUUUAAACAUUUAAUAAAAAAAUUAACUCCACUUACCAGUAACAAAUUAUUUUAAAACACUAAUUUCUUACAUCAAUUGAGUAUUGAGUACCUACAUCAAUUGACCUCAAACAAAG